GCCGGUGUGGCCCAAAGGAUAGGGCGUCCGCCUCCGGAGCGGAAGGUUGCGGGUUCGAAUCCCGUCACCGGCACGA
rnacentral:tRNA from 1 species